AAGCUGACAGGGAAAUUUAACGGGAUAGCUCCAGCGGAGCCUGGCAAUGGGCGCCAAACGGAGCGAAAUCUAAAUCACUGCCUACGCUCGUAGCUGGCCUCAUGUGGUCGUUCUUUCGGACGGUGGGUUCGACUCCCCCCGCCUCCACCA
rnacentral:tmRNA from 1 species